UACGUAGGGGGCAAGCGUUGUCCGGAAUCAUUGGGCGUAAAGCGCGUGUAGGCGGCCCGGAAAGUCUGGUGUGAAAUCUUGAGGCUCAACCUCAAGCUGUCACUGGAUACUGUCGGGCUUGAGUCCGGAAGAGGAGUGUGGAAUUCCUGGUGUAGCGGUGGAAUGCGCAGAUAUCAGGAGGAACACCGAUGGCGAAGGCAGCACUCUGGUACGUGACUGACGCUGAGACGCGAAAGCGUGGGGAGCAAACAGG
rnacentral:rRNA from 1 species